rnacentral:pre_miRNA from 1 species
AUAAUACUCCCUCCGUCCAAAAAUACUUGUCCGAGGAAUGGAUGAAUCUAGAUGUAUUUUAGUUCUAAAUACAUUCAUUUGUAUCCAUUUCUCCGACAAGUAUUUUCGGACGGAGGGAGUACGUU